UACGGAGGGUGCAAGCGUUAUCCGGAUUCACUGGGGUUAAAGGGUGCGUAGGAGGGCAGGUAAGUCAGUGGUGAAAUCUCCGAGCUUAACUUGGAAACUGCCGUUGAUACUAUCUGCCUUGAAUAUUGUGGAGGUGAGCGGAAUAUGUCAUGUAGCGGUGAAAUGCUUAGAUAUGACAUAGAACACCAAUUGCGAAGGCAGCUCGCUACACAUAUAUUGACUCUGAGGCACGAAAGCGUGGGGAUCAAACAGG
rnacentral:rRNA from 1 species